rnacentral:rRNA from 1 species
GAUGAACGCUGGCGGCGUGCCUAAUACAUGCAAGUCGAGCGAACAGAUCCGGAGCUUGCUCCUCUCACGUUUGCGGAGGACGUGUGUGUCACGCGUGGAUACCCUACCUAUAUGACUGAUAUAACUUCGAGAAUCCGGAGCUUAUACCGGAUAAUAUAUUGCACCGCAUGGUUCGAUAGUGAGAGUCGGUUUUGCGGUCACUUCUAGAUGCAUCCGCGCCGGUUUAGAUAGUUGGUAAGGUCACGGCUUACCAAGGGUACGAGGCGUGGCCGAACUGCGAGGGUGAUCGGCCACCCGGGAAGUGAGACACGGUCCAGGCUCCUACGGGAGGCAGCAGUAGGGAAUGUGCCGCAAUGGGCGAAAACCUGACGGAGCAGCGCGGCGUGAGUGACGAAGGUCUUCGGAGCGUAAAACUCUGUUUUGAGGGAAGAACAAAUUUGUAAGGAGCUAUGGACGGCUUGACGGUAACGAAUCAGAAAGCCACGGCUAACUACGUG